rnacentral:rRNA from 1 species
UCGGGAAUUUUGGGCAAUGGGCGAAAGCCUGACCCAGCAACGCCGCGUGAAGGAUGAAGUAUUUCGGUAUGUAAACUUCGUAAGAAUAGGAAGAAUAAAUGACGGUACUAUUUGUAAGGUCCGGCUAACUACGUGCCAGCAGCCGCGGUAAUACGUAGGGACCAAGCGUUGUUCGGAUUUACUGGGCGUAAAGGGCGCGUAGGCGGUGUGUCAAGUCAGUUGUGAAAUCUCCGAGCUUAACUCGGAACGGUCAACUGAUACUGUCACACUAGAGUACAGAAGGGGCAAUCGGAAUUCUUGGUGUAGCGGUGAAAUGCGUAGAUAUCAAGAGGAACACCUGAGGCGAAGGCGGGUUGCUGGGCUGAUACUGACGCUGAGGCACGAAAGCGUGGGGAGCAAACAGGAUUAGAUACCCCGGUAGUCCCUGAGCGGGCUGGCAAGGCGCAU